CCAUUUUGAGAUUUAGUGAUAUUUUUAAACACGUUGUAGUGAAUCCCCCUAUGCGGUGGGGCAAAUCAACUAUUUUCAUGUGACACUCCAAUAUGCGAACCACGGUUGGUUGUCCAAAGGUUCACCGGGAGGCACCCGGCACUACAACAGGCCCUUGCAGAAAUGCAGGGGCUUUUCCAUUUUAGGGGAUUAUGCUAUUUUGC
rfam:Dendroctonus ponderosae Seq01007012, whole genome shotgun sequence.